rnacentral:rRNA from 1 species
AACGAACGCUGGCGGCAGGCCUAACACAUGCAAGUCGAACGAGACCUGCGGGUCUAGUUGCGCACUGGUUCGUAACGGGUGGGAACCUGCCCUUAGGUUCGGAAUAACUCCCCGAAAGGGGUGCUAAUACCGGAUAAUGUCUUCGGACCAAAGAGUUAUCGCCUUUGGGGGUGCGCUAGUUGUAUUCGCUAUUUGGUAGGGUAAAAGCCUACAAAGGCGACGUCCCAUAGCUGGUCAGAGAGGCAGAUCACCCACACUGGCAAUGAGACACGGCCCAGACUCUUACGGGAGGAAGCAGUGGCUAAUAUUGCACCAUGGGCGAAAGGCUGAUCGAGCACUGCCGGGUGAGCGAUGAAGGCAUUAGGGUUGUAAAGCUCUUUUACCCGGGAUGAUAAUGACAGUACCGGGAGAAUAAGCUCCGGCUAACUACGUG